AGAUUGUUGCAUGCCUUUAAUUCCGGGCUUUGAAUCUUACAAUACUAAAAGAAGAAUAUCCUGAGUGGAGAGAGUGUACACGUCAGCCAAUAAAUUAUGGCCAAUCAUGAAUCUCUGUUUUGCCAUGUCAUAUAUGCUCUUAGUCGAAACAGAUUGUUGCAGGCCUUUAAUUCCGGGCUUUGAAUAUUGCGUAGCCCAAUUUAGAUCAGCACAACUCCCGACUAUGUCGCUCGCCUCUUCCACUUCAUCAUCGUCCUUCCCGAUUCUGCAAAUCGACGUUUCUUGAAGUUAUUACGAGCCAUGUUCCAUCUUCUUUUGGUUUUCCACCUAAUCUUUGCUCCAACCACAACCAUAUAGAAAAUUCAUCACCUUUUCCCUUUCCGUAUUCUCGCUAUAUAAGUCCAUUGCGAUAUUCAGUACCAAAAAAUUCCACACACAAUUUUUACCUCUGCAUCGCCGCCGAUCUCAGUUACUUUGGCAUUCCUCUGCCAUCUCAGCCAUCAUGGGUAAUGGGUUACAUACGAAGAAUUUUGCAUGGGCUUCACUGAAAUAAAGGCUCUGCCAGUACAUACUACUUUACAAAAUGUCUUGGCAGGUGGUGUCUUCCCAGUUGAAGCAAGUGGGGGGUAGAUCUACUGUUAACCUGCAGCCUGAGUCUUGCGGCAAGGACCUGUGACAAAAACUAAACCACCAGAUGAAAGAAUGAAUAAUAUACCUUCAAAAUCUGAUCAAGGAUAUCCAUAAUCAAAGGCAAGCAGUCCAUCAGAUGUUCAACCAUCCAUGUCUACGAAACCAAUGGACCAAAAGAAAGCACGAUGAAUCACCCAGAAUAUCUGAUGAGAACUCUAACAAAGCUGGCUCCAAGAAUUCUGAAACUGAGGUAAUUAAAGUCUUCUUCCAAACGAGGUGCAUCGGCUGCGUCGAUGAAGAAAUCAAUAAAACAAGAUUUUUUAGAAGAUGAUGGAAAGUCCGGCAAAGCUGUUGGAACAUCCACACCUGACAAAGGUGUUAUAUAUUUGGAGAGGAGGCAGGCAUUUUUGGCUUUGACCAAACCUUUUCCCGGCAUAUCAGCCAAUGGUGGCUUAGCUACUGGUUCGUCCAAAGUUUUGGUGUUAAGCACAAAAUCAUUAGACAUUCAUAGAGUCUAAUGAGAGCUCAAUGGACUUUUUAGGCAUUCUAACUUUUAAUCUUUCGUGCAUCAAAGAUGGUAUUGUAGUUUUAGAUACACAAGCAAUUUUUUUGAUGGAAAGGCUAUCAAGGUUCUUUAUUUUUCUUCUUCUGCAUUUUAAGUGAUGAAACUUUAGUCAAUACAUAUUUUUAUCGACUGGAAAAUUGAGAAGUUGAAGUAAGUUAAUAUGUUUUGGCACCAUUAAUUUUUUUUUGGCAACAUUAGCUUCUUAUGAUUUAUGCACAUUAAUUCAAAUACAGUAUUGCAAUUAUUAUACAUAAUUUUUAAAUGACCAUAUACAAUAUUUUAAAUUCUAUUUGAAAACAGUGAAGUUCAACCGCAGUAAAAAAACAAACAAUGCAAACAAAACACAAUUUCAACUAUCGUGUAAAAUACUUAAAACUAUAUUUGAAAACAAAGCACGAAAGUGUAGUAGUUCAACUGUAGCAAAAUAAUAAUAAUAAUAAUAAUAAUAAUAAUAAUGAGGACAUUUCCAAUGAUUGAUUUUAUUUUAUUUCAAAAUGAAGAAAAGAUGAAGUAAUAUUUACUUUAAUAGAUAAUUUUAUUUUCUUUCUGUAAAAUAAUAUUCCAAAUAUGUUAUAUCUCUAAUUAAUUAUUAAUAAUAUCUUUCACUGUUUUAUGUUCACUCAUGUUACUAAAUUGUUUUAUUUUAACCCUAAUCUAACAUAAUUAUCAUUUAAUAUAAAUGAAAUAUUAAAUAUAUUAUCAUACAAUAAAUUGAUUAUAUAACAUGAAUAAACAAACAUAUAGUUUCAUAUUAAAAAAAAAAUCACUAUGUCUAUAUUUCUUCUAUAAGUGAUUAACAAAAGUGUUUUGAAAUAAAAUAUUAACUUAUUUAUCUUUGCUUCUUCUUAAAUAGGACAAGAAUUCUUAAAAAUGAAUAUUCUCAUAUUCUUCGAUAUAAAUAGAUAAAAGUCGAGACUUUGAAUUUAAUUGGAUAAUAUUAACGUAUAUAAUAUAUUUUACAAAAUAUACAAAAUAAGUAAAAAGUUCAUCUUCAAAAAUGAAAAUAUGAAUAGUAUAUCUUCAAAGGGAAAUACCCUAGGAUAGCACUAAAAAGGUUUUUAUCACAAAUAUAGACUCUAAGAAUCAAAAUGACCAAAAUAUUUUAUUAAAGAGGUAAAUAUACACUUAUACUCCUAUGGUUUACUAAUCCAAAUCUUAGGAUUUAGUGUUAAGGAGUUGAGAUUUGGGUUUGAGAAUUAAAAUUUUAUAAAAUAGAAAAUAAAUAUUCAAAAUUUGAAAAUAAAAAUUUUAAAAAUAGUUCCAAAAAGUAUUUUCGAACUACAAAAAGAAAAUUUGAAAAAAAAAAUAAGAAAAAAUUUCGAAAAAAACAAAAUUCAAAAAAAA